rnacentral:tRNA from 1 species
GAAAAUUUAGUUAAAUAUAUAACAUUAGCUUGUCAUGCUAAAGUUGCUGCCUUGUAAGCAAUUUUCU